UACGUAGGUGGCAAGCGUUGUCCGGAUUUACUGGGCGUAAAGCGUGUGUAGGCGGACCUUUAAGUAGAAAGUGAAAGGUAGGAGCUCAACUCCUACAUUGCUCUCUAUACUGGAGGUCUUGAGUGUCGGAGAGGAAGAUGGAACUGCACGUGUAGCGAUGAAAUGCGUUGAGAUGUGCAGGAACACCAAUGGCGAAGGCAAUCUUCUGGACGAAAACUGACGCUGAGACACGAAAGCCAAGGUAGCAAACAGG
rnacentral:rRNA from 1 species